rnacentral:lncRNA from 1 species
AGGAAUUGUUAUUUUUGAUAAAGUUUAAUCGCAAUUUCAAUUCAGCCUGUAAUGAACCAAAAACAUGAACAACAUAUAUUGUUUUUAAUUAUCUUGUAUUUCUAAAAGACCCAAAUCAAGGUCUUCAAAGUAAUCAUACUCUGACAGCUGGUAGCUUUCAGUGUCACUAUCUGAAAAAAAAAAUCGUCAUGUCCCUCCGAC